GUCAGCUCCACCAAGUUCUUUAACAUCAAGAGCAAUGGGAAUGAGCCCUGGGGCUGUUCCUCCUUCACACUGUUUACAGGCAAAGUUCCAAAGAUAGCAGAAAACUUUCGUGCUCUGAACACUGGAGAGAAAGGAUUUAGAUCUAAGGUUCCCCCCUUUCACAGAAUUAUUCCAGGAUUCAUGUGCCAGGGUGGUGACUUCACGCCAUAAUGGCACUGGUGGCAGGUCCAAAGAGAAAUCUGAGGAUGAGAACUUCACCAUGAAGCAUACCAGUCCUGGCAUCUUGUCCAUGGAAAAUGCUGGACCAAACACAAACAGUUCCCAGGUGUUUGUUUGUUUGGUCUGCACUGCCAAGACUGAGGGGCUGGAUGGCAAACAUGUGUCUCUGGGACGGUGAAAGAAGGCAUGAGCAUUGUGGAAGCCGUGGAGCUUUUUGGGUCCAGGAAUGGCAAGACCAGCAAGAAGAUCACCAUUUCCGACUGUGGAGAGCUCUAA
rnacentral:lncRNA from 1 species